rnacentral:rRNA from 1 species
AGUGAACGCUGGCGGUAGGCCUAACACAUGCAAGUCGAACGGCAGCACAGUAAGAGCUUGCUCUUACGGGUGGCGAGUGGCGGACGGGUGAGGAAUACAUCGGAAUCUACUUUUUCGUGGGGGAUAACGUAGGGAAACUUACGCUAAUACCGCAUACGACCUACGGGUGAAAGCAGGGGAUCUUCGGACCUUGCGCGAUUGAAUGAGCCGAUGUCGGAUUAGCUAGUUGGCGGGGUAAAGGCCCACCAAGGCGACGAUCCGUAGCUGGUCUGAGAGGAUGAUCAGCGACACUGGAACUGGGACACGGUCCAGACUCCUACGGGAGGCAGCAGUGGGGAAUAGUGGACAAUGGGCGCAAGCCUGAUCCAGCCAUACCGAGUGGGUGAAGAAGGCCUUCGGGUUGUAAAGCCCUUUUGUUGGGAAAGAAAAGCAGCAGGUUAAUACCCCGCGGUUCUGACGGUACCCAAUGAAUAAGCACCGGCUAACUUCGUG